UCUUUCCUUUAUUUUUGUAAACACAAGGAUCGGCAUCCAUUUUUUAUGGUCCAAGACUUGAGUCUGUAAUUCUCACACAAACCUUAAUGAUAAAAAUCCAUACAGAAAGCAAAUAGAAAAAUUUAGCGUCCCUGUCUGCCCCAAAAAAAAUAAAAAAGAAUGGAAAGAUCUUCAUCUUUAAAAGCAAACCUUACACCUGUCUGCAAAUGAUGCUCGGAUCAUCAACCAAGAAAUCCAGAGCAACUUCUUCCACAGUGGAUUCCUCACCGACGGCUGGUGCCAACUAUUCUCACUUCAGUUUCUGUUUGUACAUGCUUGCCACGUUUUUGUUUAGGAGGACUACAGAUGUUUGUUUAAAAAAAGUAAAGCUCUCUGUGUUUUCACAUGUUGUCGGAGUGUGUAGGGGAGGUGGGGUGAGGAGGAUCAAGGCAGGAACACAAAGGAAUGGGGUUAAAUGUUUAAAUUCAGAGAACAUGUUAAGUUGAUGAGCUUUUGCUCACUGUAUAAUUUUAUAGGGAAAAAAUGGGGCCGUCUGUUAAGUCUUCAUUGGACUUUAUUUACGCCUUUUUCUUUGUCUCUUGAAGAAGUUGACUCAUUGUUGCUAUGGGCUGCUUUUUUUUUUCUUCCGUUUUCUUAUGACUGAUGUGAGUGGCCUUGCCCCCACUCUUUCUAUUAAUCAGUUCAAAAGUAAUAAAUGUGGUAUAUUCAGCAGAGUUGUGUGCAUUCCUUAUGUUCGACUUGAAAGUGGCUUCUUUAUUCAGCUUGUUUUUACAUGGUAUUAAUGUGUUUUUUUCUGCUCAGUUAUAAUCAGCCUGCAGAUGAUGGAGGUUCUACUUUAACCCUGCUUUGCCUCUCCUACUGCUCCACUUUUCUGUGUCACCUUGUCCUCCACACUCCCCAAUUCUUAUUUCUGCUCAGCCAGACAUUCAUAAUAAACCAUUAAUUGCAGCCAUGCAUUGCUCGGUGUCAUUGUCAGUUUAGAAAAAAAGGAAACCUUGAGAACUACUGGCUUUUAUUUGUGGCAUAAUAAAGAUGCUCCACAAAGUUAUGUUGGGUUUUGCUUUUCAUUGGCUAUUUGUACUUGCACUUAUUCUCCUUUAAACCAGUAAAGUUUAAACUGAUGUUUUCACAAGGUUUGAAUUCUACCUCUGCAUUGGUGCAUGUCGGUUAUUGGGCUAAGUGUGUGUCAAACUAGAAUUGAUCUAAAUGGAAUGCAGUUCUUGCAGACACCUUUGUUCUUUAGGCAUUCAAGUCAAUUGUCUGCUGUGAAACUGUCCGGGUUUAGCCGUCAACUUCUCAUAAUUGUGUUUAGAAUAAUGCAUCUUCUACCUGCUUAAGGUAAAUUGAAAAUAUAUCCUAGAACUACGUAUUUCGGAUCGUUUCAGUUAUUUUCUUUUUGGCAUGAAAUGUGGUGACUCAGCUUGAUUAAAAACCUUACAUACACUCACUCAUUGGUGGAAAAUGACAUUUUGUAAAAUAUGACACGUACAAGAUUCCGUAAUUACCAUAAAUAUUUGAUUAAUCCACAUUCCGCCAUUUUCUGUCUUGGAAAUUAUUUCUGUAAUAGUCGAAGUGGACACAAGAGGGCGACACAGGAUCGUUUACCGUGUCACGUUCUUCAGCCGGGUUCAGUUCAUCGCUCUUCCUUCCUGGUCACGAGGCCUUGUGUUACAAGUCCGUGAUGGGGGCCGUUAUGAAACCUUCCCGGAAGGCUCCGCCGUGCUCGGCCUGGUUUCCACAGACACUCAGAAAGUGCGCAGGGCUGCUGCUGGUGUACGUGUCGCUGCUCGCCGCUGACAGAAUGACCGAUAAGACCGAGCUGCCGAGCAGAGAGCGGGCUCUGAAGGGAAG